UGGGGAAUUUUGGACAAUGGGCGAAAGCCUGAUCCAGCAAUGCCGCGUGUGUGAAGAAGGCCUUCGGGUUGUAAAGCACUUUUGUCCGGAAAGAAAUCCUUGGCUCUAAUACAGUCGGGGGAUGACGGUGCCGGAAGAAUAAGCACCGGCUAACUACGUGCCAGCAGCCGCGGUAAUACGUAGGGUGCAAGCGUUAAUCGGAAUUACUGGGCGUAAAGCGUGCGCAGGCGGUUUGCUAAGACCGAUGUGAAAUCCCCGGGCUCAACCUGGGAACUGCAUUGGUGACUGGCAGGCUAGAGUAUGGCAGAGGGGGGUAGAAUUCCACGUGUAGCAGUGAAAUGCGUAGAGAUGUGGAGGAAUACCGAUGGCGAAGGCAGCCCCCUGGGCCAAUACUGACGCUCAUGCACGAAAGCGUGGGGAGCAAACAGGAUUAGAUACCCUGGUAGUCCACGCCCUAAACGAUGUCAACUAGUUGUUGGGGGAUUC
rnacentral:rRNA from 1 species